rnacentral:lncRNA from 1 species
AACCGCCCAUGCCUUUCCAUCACUCUUCUUGUCGCAAGGGCUGCAGCCUCACUUGCACGAAUCGUCCCGGUCGCCAUGAUCGCAGCAAAUUCCCUGGUGAUCUCUUCCUGCACCUUGUUGCGAGCGUCACCGAGAGGGUCUUCAGCCAGCUGGGGUUGCUUCUCUUCGCUUACUGUUGCAAGUUUCACUGCAGGUGGAGUUGAAUUUGCAUCACCCACAACCUUUGCUCGUGAACUCCCGGAAUCAGCGUUAUUGCCACCGGACUCUGCAGAGGCAUCUCUCUUGGUUGGGCUUGAAGAAACGCUGGUUGGAGCAAUUGUUUGGGUCAUGGAUACAGGAUUGAAUUGAGGAGCUUGAGGUACGGCACCCGACUUUAAAGUUGUUUCCAGCCGCUGAAUCAUGGGAACUGCAAAUCAAUGUGUUUAUCUGAUCAUAAAUCACCUUUUAAAUAAUAACAUAAAAGACACAGUUGAAACUAAUAGAGAGUAAUUUCUCUGAGCAAGAAAGCUGUGAGGUUAAAAGGGGUUUCUAUGGAGGUUGCAGCCACCCUAAGUCACUGUCAGAUAGGAACUUUUCAGUUCCAUAUAGACCACUAGAUAUUAUUCAUAGGCUCGAUGCUCCGUUAGCCUGAAAUGAAAAUGUUAUCAUCGCUCUUGUUUUCUAUCAGUAUGGCACUAGCCAAGCUGCUUGUUUUCUAUUAAAGAUUUAUUUUGGGACUUUCAGGAUGGCAAAAGACCAGCCCAUAGUACAUAAAGGAUAAGCUUAGAUAUAAAAGAAUAAAAAAAGUAAAGAUGUGAUAUCUUACGUAUAAGUGCUCCCAUGGGACUGCUCAUUACUUCAUUUGGAAGCUGAAGGAUGUAGUCUGGAAUUGUGGUGCUAACAAGGAAUUGUGCCACCUCAUUGCUGAAGUUGUUGCAGUUAUGACUGAGAAGGUUGUAAGUCUCAGCUGUGUAGCGUUCGCUGAUCUCUUGCAAGUACUCCUCA